rnacentral:tRNA from 1 species
GCCCGGGUAGCUCAAUGGCUAGAGCGUGGGACUUUUAAUCCCAAGGUUGGGGGUUCGAGACCCCCUUCGGGCG